AUUGAAAUAUUAUAAAUUACAUCAGAGAUUUGGACAGUGAAUACUCUGUUAGAGUUAUACGUUACAUAUCAUGUGCUUGUGUGUUUGAGGGCACACAGCUUUUUCAUUUUUGGUUUUGUUCCUUUUUUGCUUCUUUUUCCUUUCCCUUAACUCCUGUUGUAUCACAAGUGGCUUUAUCUGAUGUGUUCUGCAGACCAGACAGACUUAAACUAGUUUAUUUCUUUCUAUCUCAUCUGCUCUGCCUGUCUGUAGGUUUACCCCAUUAUUACACAGACAGCAGAGAUCAUCAGUAGCAGAUUAGGAUUGGAUAAACUUUCCGGUGCACGUUCAAAUCCUAUCACAUACCCAUUAUAGAGCAGCUGCAGACCCAGGCAAGAGGCAUUUCAUUGACCAAAGUCUAUCUAGUGAGCUCUAAACCUUGCAUUUUGUAUCUAUAUUAGUCCUGCCACAUUGGCAGCUUUUCACUAAAUCUAAGCAGAGAACAGUGUUUGUGAAUGCAAAAACACUUUCACAAACUCCUUAUCUGGUUGGUCCACAGAAGACAUCAUGGGGGUGGAGGGCAUGAGCAGCACCUGUGUGGAAUUUAGCUGUGAAUGGCACGCUUGUAAAAAAUGCUCUGACAUCAGAAAGGUGGAUGGCAUGUCUUGGUACAGAGCAUUAUGGGUAAGUGGUUCUCCCCUCUUUCUGUACCCAUCUGGCAUCACAUAAAAAUCAUGUCCUCAGAGCUGAACAUGCUGAAGUGUCUCAGAUGGGCCUGUUGAGGCUGGAAUUGCUGCAGACUCUAUCUCCUGCUUGGCUGAUAUUUUUCUCCCAGUUUAUGCUAGAAGAGCUUUGGCUGCCUUGCAUCAAUCUGUUUGCUGUGGGACAGGUGGUGGUAAGCCAUUGAGGCCCCCAAGUGUGAGCCUUCCUGUAAGCCACUGCCAUCAGGAACAGACUGAAGUGAGCUUUUAUGGAGGCCCCAGCACAGAAUGAUUGAGGAUCUGCAGAAACCCAAAAGCUUUUUCCCAUCUAAUGGCAAGAAAGAGUGUGUAAAUAAAACUGACAAACAUAAAAAUGCAAUAAACUACAACCAUUUCAUGAAUUUAUAACCUGAGGGGCAAAGUAAUAAAGAGAUAAAUUCAUGUCA